rfam:Alligator sinensis unplaced genomic scaffold scaffold343_1, whole genome shotgun sequence
GCUUGGUUCUUCCUGCCAUGAGGUCUUAGGCCUGUCUUUGUGACACGGUUGUCUGUUGCCAUGGAAGUAUUUGUGCUUUCACAAAGUCAGCACUGAGAUGACUUCACAAACAAGGUCAUGGAGGAGCAGAUGGGACUUUGAAGGAGG